ensembl:misc_RNA Metazoa_SRP Metazoan signal recognition particle RNA
GCCAGGUGCGGUGGCUCGCGCCUGUAAUCCCAGCUACCUGGGAGGCUGAGGCAGGAGAAUCACUUGAAUCCGGGAGGCAGAGGUUGUGGUGAGCCGAGAUCAUGCCACUGCACUCUAGCCUGGCUGACAGAGUGAGACUCUGUCUCAA